rnacentral:rRNA from 1 species
UGAACGCUAGCGGCAGGCUUAACACAUGCAAGUCGAGGGGCAGCAUGACACGGAGAUUCGUCAAAGUCUUGAUGGCGACCGGCGCAAGGGUGCGUAACGCGUGAGCAACUUGCCCGUUUCUGGGGAAUAACCGGUGGAAACGCCGACUAAUACCCCAUAGUAUCUCAUUUAGGCAUCUUUAUGAGAUUAAAGAAUUUCGGAAACGGAUAGGCUCGCGUGACAUUAGCUAGAUGGCGGGUAACGGCCCACCAUGGCGACGAUGUCUAGGGGUUCUGAGAGGAAGGUCCCCCACACUGGAACUGAGACACGGUCCAGACUCCUACGGGAGGCAGCAGUGAGGAAUAUUGGUCAAUGGUCUGACGACUGAACCAGCCAUGCCGCGUGAAGGUGACGGCCCUAUGGGUCUUAAACUUCUUUUGUAAGGGAGCAAUAAGGUCUACGUGUAGGCUGAUGAGAGUACCUUACGAAUAAGCAUCGGCUAACUCCGUG